rnacentral:rRNA from 1 species
UACAGAGGGUGCGAGCGUUGUCCGGAAUCACUGGGCGUAAAGAGCUCGUAGGCGGUUUGUCGCGUCUGCUGUGAAAACCUCAGGCUCAACCUGGGGCUUGCAGUGGGUACGGGCAGACUAGAGUGCGGUAGGGGUGACUGGAAUUCCUGGUGUAGCGGUGGAAUGCGCAGAUAUCAGGAGGAACACCGGUGGCGAAGGCGGGUCUCUGGGCAGUAACUGACGCUGAGGAGCGAAAGCGUGGGGAGCGAACAGG